rnacentral:rRNA from 1 species
UUGGAGGGCAAGUCUGGUGCCAGCAGCCGCGGUAAUUCCAGCUCCAAUAGCGUAUAUUAAAGUUGUUGCAGUUAAAAAGCUCGUAGUUGAACUUCGGGGUCUACCCAUUGGUCAGGCUUAAUUGUCUGCACUGGUGAGAUGGAUCUCUACCUUCUGAGGAACUCUCAUGCCAUUUAUUUGGUGUGGUUGGAAAUCAGGACUGUUACUUUGAAAAAAUUAGAGUGUUUAAAGCAGACUAUCGUCUGAAUACAUUAGCAUGGAAUAAUGAAAUAGGACGGACUGAUUCUAUUUCGUUGGUUUCUGGGAUCACCGUAAUGAUUAAUAGGGAUAGUUGGGGGCAUUAGUAUUCAAUUGUCAGAGGUGAAAUUCUUGGAUUUAUUGAAGACUAACUACUGCGAAAGCAUUUGCCAAGGAUGUUUUCAUUAAUCAAGAACGAAAGUUAUGGGAUCGAAGACGAUCAGAUACCGUCGUAGUCUUAACCAUAAACUAUGCCGACUAGGGAUCGGACGAAGUUAAUUUUAUAAUGACGCGUUCGGCACCUUACGGGAAAC